CGAUUCUUUUAAAACUUAUGCAAAAAAGAAAAAGGAAAGAAAGAAAAAGAAGAGGAAAAAGAAAGAACCAACAACUCUGUUUCUAAGAUUUUAAAGCGAUAGGCAAGUCGGAGAAGCCGAGAUUUAUUCGGGAAAAUCCAGAGCGCGCUAAACCAACCUGGCGUUGGGAAGACCAGCCCGCCUGCUUGGAUGAUGGGACUGUUGAUUCCUUCAAUUAAUGAAAUGCAUUUGGUGUUAAUCAUAUUUAUUUUACUUUAUGGGAGAGGGGGCCGCUAGCAGGGUGCAUUAAAAAAAAAUAAGAUUCUAAAAAGCCUGCAAAAAGAUCGAAGAGUGAAAACUAUUGUUGGACCGAGUUGGUUUUUACCUCAACAGCGCCACCUUUCGGCAAAGCUUUGUGCCAGCUGCAGAUGAAAUGGAUGUGCUUUUCGUAGGACUUCACUUCUCUGAAGCAGGUCCCUCAUCUGGAACAUCGGGGUAUUGUCAGGAUUAGAGAUGGUGCCAAGUAUCUUCUACCGUGCGAGUCCACAGAGGAGCUCCACAAAUGAGCCUUAUGAGGAGUAGACUCAGGCUGUCACCUCGACUCGACUGAUGACCUCAAGGAGGAAGGAUGGAUAUGACCCAACGUCACAGGUGAUCCCCACCAGUGAAUGUUCCAGAAGCUUCCAUGGAGCUCUUGGAGACGUGGCUCAUACACAGGACAAAGCUCCUUUGCCGUGGUCAGCUCUGCCUUUAUAUGCAGCCCCUCACUGCCCGCCUAUCUUCACAAUCCAGCGCCCUCUCUAAAUUUCAUGAUUUCAAGGUAAGAAAUACCCUCCAUUGUGUUUCCUCUUAAAUAUCCUCCAGAGAGUUACAUUUUGGGAACAAACGCUCAGUGCCAGUUUUGUCAUUGUAUCCUUUUCACUGAUAAAUUAUAUGAUCCAAAUUAAUUAGUCCAAGUUUCAAACGAUAGUGCCUUA